rnacentral:rRNA from 1 species
UACGUAGGUGGCAAGCGUUGUCCGGAUUUACUGGGCGUAAAGAGCGCGCAGGCGGUCGGAUCAGUCGAAUGUGAAAGCCCCCGGCUCAACUGGGGAGGGUCAUUCGAUACUGUCCGACUCGAAGGCAGGAGAGGGUAGUGGAAUUCCCGGUGUAGUGGUGAAAUGCGUAGAUAUCGGGAGGAACACCAGUGGCGAAGGCGACUACCUGGCCUGUUCUUGACGCUGAGGCGCGAAAGCUAGGGGAGCAAACGGG